rnacentral:rRNA from 1 species
CAGCCCUUGACAUCCCGGUCGCGGACUCCAGAGACGGAGUUCUUCAGUUCGGCUGGACCGGAGACAGGUGCUGCAUGGCUGUCGUCAGCUCGUGUCGUGAGAUGUUGGGUUAAGUCCCGCAACGAGCGCAACCCCCGUCCUUAGUUGCUACCAUUUAGUUGAGCACUCUAAGGAGACUGCCGGUGAUAAGCCGCGAGGAAGGUGGGGAUGACGUCAAGUCCUCAUGGCCCUUACGGGCUGGGCUACACACGUGCUACAAUGGCGGUGACAAUGGGACGCUAAGGGGCAACCCUUCGCAAAUCUCAAAAAGCCGUCUCAGUUCGGAUUGGGCUCUGCAACUCGAGCCCAUGAAGUUGGAAUCGCUAGUAAUCGUGGAUCAGCACGCCACGGUGAAUACGUUCCC